GUGGGGAAUAUUGGUCAAUGGGGGAAACCCUGAACCAGCAACGCCGCGUGAAGGAAGAAGGCUUUCGGGUUGUAAACUUCUUUGACAGGGGACGAAGACAGUGACGGUACCCUGAAAACAAGCCACGGCUAACUACGUGCCAGCAGCCGCGGUAAUACGUAGGUGGCGAGCGUUGUCCGGAUUUACUGGGUGUAAAGGGCGUGUAGGCGGGAUGGUAAGUCAGAUGUGAAAUCUGUGGGCUUAACCCACAAACUGCAUUUGAAACUAUCGUUCUUGAGUGAUGGAGAGGCAGGCGGAAUUCCGUGUGUAGCGGUGAAAUGCGUAGAUAUACGGAGGAACACCAGUGGCGAAGGCGGCCUGCUGGACAUUAACUGACGCUGAGGCGCGAAAGCGUGGGGAGCAAACAGGAUUAGAUACCCCUGUAGUCC
rnacentral:rRNA from 1 species